rnacentral:pre_miRNA from 1 species
GAUUUAGUACAAGUAUGUCCCAUGCAGUAUUGGGGAUGUAUUUGUACUAAAA